rnacentral:tRNA from 1 species
GCAUCUGUAGCUCAAUUGGAUAGAGUGUUGGAUUCCGAUUCCAAAGGUUCCGGGUUCGAGUCCCGGCGGAUGCA